ACGAGGAGGAAACAAAAUGAACGGAGUUCAUUUUCUAUGAAUGUUUCUGACGAAUAGCCGCCGACCUAAGGGAGGGGGCAAUACAUAUU
rnacentral:sRNA from 12 species